CCAGGUUUCUGGAAAGCCUUCUAGGCAGCCAGCACAAGGUCAAAUACUUCUGCACAGAGAAUCCCUGCAGGGGGAUUUGUUCCGGGAAGGGAAUUACAUUUCAAUUUGAUUUAAUUCAAUGAGAAUGACACCAAAUUGAUCAGCUGGUAAAAUGCCAUUUGAUGGGCAGAUCUGCUCUUUCCAAGUCAAUAGGAACCUCCAGAAAAAUCAGUCUUGCUUUUUCAGACAGAACUGAAAGUUUUACCCGUUUCCUUUGCCUUUUAAAAAGGGCUCAAAUUCCCUGAAGGUGGAGGGCCUUUUCCUCAUAGAUUUAGGGACCUGAGCAAAGUAAUUAACCAACAGGCACCCAGGGGACACUGUGCAACUUCUGUAUCAGGUAGAGUGUGUGUGUGUGUGUGUGUGUGUGUGUGUGUGUGUGUGGUAUCACAUCAGUCAUCUUGUUCCAGACUUUCCUGUGAUCUUGACAGACUUCUCAGUUUCUCUGGGUCUCAGUUCUACCAUCUAUAAGAUGGGCAUUUAGCCUCCCUCGGUCCUGCACUGGGCCAUGUCCUUUGGAGCAGUGGCACGAACAAUAACCACAGUCCCCAACAACCACUGCCACGGUCCCAGCAAAUCAUCACUAGCAUUAUUUUUUCUUUUUUUGGUGCUGGCAAGUGUUAGGCAAGUACUCUGCCUCUGAGCCACAUCCCCAAUAGUGUCAUUCUUGAGCAGUUACUCUGUGCUGGGCACGAUUGAAAACUUCAUAUGUUUUUAUGGUUUGAGUAUGAGGUGUCACCAAAACGUCCUGCAUCCUGCGUUAAUGCAGGAAUAUCCAGAGUGAAAUGGUUAGGCUAUGAGAGUUGUAACCCAAUCAGCCCUUUCUAAUUCGAUAUGGACUGACUAGGUGGUAACUGUAGGUAGGUGGGGCUUGGCUGCAGGAGGCGGGUCACUGGGAUCACACCUGGAAGGGUUCAUCUUCCCUUCGCCUUCUCCCUCCUUACUUCCUGGCCACCAUGAGCUGAGCAGUGGUCCUCCAUGGUGCCCUCCCGCCAUGACGGUCUGCUUCACCUCAGGCCCACAGCCAUGGAGUCAGCCAGCCAGGAACUGAACUUGUGAAACUACAAGUUGAGAUAAACUGUCCCUCCUCUAAAUUAUUCUUGUCAGGUAUUUUGGUCAUACCGAUGUAAAGCUGACUAACACGUACGCAUUAUAUCACAUGAUAUUUGUAAUC
rnacentral:lncRNA from 1 species